rnacentral:sRNA from 1 species
ACUCUUUUAUAAUAACAACUGUUGGUGAACCAUUCAUCAGAAAACUCUUAUAAUUGUAUGGAAGAGAUACAGUGAUUUUAAGAAACUACACAAAGAACUAUGGCAAAUUCACAAAAACUUAUUCCGACAUUCAGAGUUGUUUCCUCCAUUUGCUAAAGGAAUAGUGUUUGGGCGAUUUGAUGAAACUGUUAUCGAAGAGAGAAGACAAUGUGCUGAAGACCUGCUACAGUUCUCUGCCAAUAUUCCUGCUCUUUACAAUAGUAAACAGCUUGAAGACUUUUUCAAGGCUUCUCCAGUGACAGUGAUCUGGUAUCUCUUACUGUUGAUGUGGAUUCUCUUGCUGAGUUAGAUGAUGGAAUGGCUUCCAAUCAAAAUUCUCCCAUUAGAACUUUUGGUCUCAAUCUUUCUUCGGAUUCUUCAGCACUAGGGGCUGUUGCUUCUGACAGUGAACAGAGCAAAACAGAAGAAGAACGGGAAAGUCGUAGCCUCUUUCCUGGCAGUUUAAAACCGAAGCUUGGCAAGAGAGAUUAUUUGGAGAAAGCAGGAGAAUUAAUAAAGCUGGCUUUAAAAAAGGAAGAAGAAGACGACUAUGAAGCUGCUUCUGAUUUUUAUAGGAAGGGAGUUGAUUUACUCCUAGAAGGUGUUCAAGGAGAGUCAAGCCCUACCCGUCGAGAAGCUGUGAAGAGAAGAACAGCUGAGUACCUCAUGCGGGCAGAAAGUAUCUCUAGUCUUUUUGGGAAACCUCAGCUUGAUGAUGUAUCUCAGCCUCCAGGAUCACUAAGUUCAAGGCCCCCUUGGAACCUAAGGAGCCCUGCCGAGGAGCUGAAGGCCUUCAGAGUCCUUGGGGUGAUUGACAAGGUUUUACUUGUAAUGGACACAAGGACAGAACAGACUUUCAUUUUAAAAGGUCUAAGGAAAAGCAGUGAAUACAGCAGGAACAGAAAGACCAUCAUCCCCCGCUGUGUGCCCAACAUGGUGUGUCUGCAUAAGUACAUCAUCUCUGAGGAGUCAGUAUUUCUUGUGCUGCAGCAUGCGGAAGGUGGCAAACUGUGGUCAUAUAUCAGUAAAUUUCUAAACAGAAGUCCUGAAGAAAGCUUUGACAUCAAGGAAGUGAAAAAACCUACACUUGAAAAAGUUCACCUGCAACAGCCAACUUCUAGUUCUCAGGACAGCAGUAGCUUUGAAUCCAGAGGAAGUGAUGGUGGAAGCAUGCUUAAAGCUCUGCCUUUGAAGAGUAGUCUUACUCCAAGUUCUCAAGAUGACAGCAACCAGGAAGAUGAUGGCCAAGAUAGCUCUCCAAAGUGGCCAGAUUCUGGUUCAAGUUCAGAAGAAGAAUGUACUACUAGUUAUUUAACAUUAUGCAAUGAAUAUGGGCAAGAAAAGAUUGAACCAGGGUCUUUGAAUGAGGAGCCCUUCAUGAAGACUGAAGGGAAUGCUGUUGAUACUAAAGCUAUUAAAAGCUUCCCAGCACACCUUGCUGCUGACAGUGACAGCCCCAGCACAGAGCUGAGAGCUCACGAGCUGAAGUUCUUCCCCAACGAUGACCCAGAAGCAGUUAGUUCUCCAAGAACAUCAGAUUCCCUCAGUAGAUCAAAAAAUAGCCCCAUGGAAUUCUUUAGGAUAGACAGUAAGGAUAGCGCAAGUGAACUCCUGGGACUUGACUUUGGAGAAAAAUUGUAUAGUCUAAAAUCAGAACCUUUGAAACCAUUCUUUACUCUUCCAGAUGGAGACAGUGCUUCUAGGAGUUUUAAUACUAGUGAAAGCAAGGUAGAGUUUAAAGCUCAGGACACCAUUAGCAGGGGCUCAGAUGACUCAGUGCCAGUUAUUUCAUUUAAAGAUGCUGCUUUUGAUGAUGUCAGUGGUACUGAUGAAGGAAGACCUGAUCUUCUUGUAAAUUUACCUGGUGAAUUGGAGUCAACAAGAGAAGCUGCAGCAAUGGGACCUACUAAGUUUACACAAACUAAUAUAGGGAUAAUAGAAAAUAAACUCUUGGAAGCCCCUGAUGUUUUAUGCCUCAGGCUUAGUACUGAACAAUGCCAAGCACAUGAGGAGAAAGGCAUAGAGGAACUGAGUGAUCCCUCUGGGCCCAAAUCCUAUAGUAUAACAGAGAAACACUAUGCACAGGAGGAUCCCAGGAUGUUAUUUGUAGCAGCUGUUGAUCAUAGUAGUUCAGGAGAUAUGUCUUUGUUACCCAGCUCAGAUCCUAAGUUUCAAGGACUUGGAGUGGUUGAGUCAGCAGUAACUGCAAAAAACACAGAAGAAAGCUUAUUCCGUAUUUGUAGUCCACUCUCAGGUGCUAAUGAAUAUAAUGCAAGCACAGACACUUUAAAAACAGAAGAAGUAUUGCUGUUUACAGAUCAGACUGAUGAUUUGGCUAAAGAGGAUCCAACUUCUUUAUUCCAGAGAGACUCUGAGACUAAGGGAGAAAAUGGUUUAGCGCUAGAAGGAGACAAGGAAAUACAUCAGAUUUUUGAGGACCUUGAUAAAAAAUUAGCACUAACCUCCAGGUUUUACAUCCCAGAGGGCUGCAUUCAAAGAUGGGCAGCUGAAAUGGUGGUAGCCCUUGAUGCUUUACAUAGAGAGGGAAUUGUGUGCCGCGAUUUGAACCCAAACAACAUCUUAUUGAAUGAUAGAGGACACAUUCAGCUAACGUAUUUUAGCAGGUGGAGUGAGGUUGAAGAUUCCUGUGACAGCGAUGCCGUAGAGAGAAUGUACUGUGCCCCAGAGGUUGGAGCAAUCACUGAAGAAACUGAAGCCUGUGAUUGGUGGAGUUUGGGUGCUGUCCUCUUUGAACUUCUCACUGGCAAGACUCUGGUUGAAUGCCAUCCAGCAGGAAUAAAUACUCACACUACUUUGAACAUGCCAGAAUGUGUCUCUGAAGAGGCUCGCUCACUCAUUCAACAGCUCUUGCAGUUCAAUCCUCUGGAACGACUUGGUGCUGGAGUUGCUGGUGUUGAAGAUAUCAAAUCUCAUCCAUUUUUUACCCCUGUGGAUUGGGCAGAACUGAUGAGAUGAACGUAAUGCAGGGUUAUCUUCACACAUUCUGAUCUUCUCUGUGACAGGCAUCUCCAGCACUGAGGCACCUCUGCUUCACAGUUACUUAUGGAGCACCAAAGCAUUUGGAUAAAGACCAUUAUAGGAAAUGGGGGGGAAAUGGCUAAAAGAGAACAAUUUGUUUAUAAUUACAAGAUAUUAGCUAAUUGUGCCAGGGGCUGUUAUAUACAUAUCUUCAACCAAGGUGUGAUCUGAAUUUAAUCCACAUUUGGUGUUGCAGAUGAGUUGUAAAGCCAACUGAAAGAGUUCCUUCUAGAAAUUCCUCUGAUAGGAAGCUAGAAGUGUAGAAUGAAGUUUUACUUGAAAGAAGGACCUUUACAUGGCAGCUAACAGUGCUUUUUGCUGACCAGGAUUGGUUUAUAUGAUUAAAUUAAUAUUUGCUUAAUAAUACACUAAAAGUACAUGAACAAUGUCAUCAAUGCAACUUAAAAGUGAGAAAAAAGAAUAUACACAUAAUUUCUGACGGAAAACCUGUACCCUGAUGCUGUAUAAUUAAUGUAUGUUGAAUGUGGUCCCAGAUUAUUUCUGUAAGAAGACACUCCAUGUUGUCAGCUUUGUACUCUUUGUUGAUACUGCUUAUUUAGAGAAGGGUUCAUAUAAACACUCACUCUGUGUCUUCAACAGCAUCUUUCUUUCCCCAUCUUUCCAUUUUCUGCACCCUCUGCUUGUUCCCUCAUAUUCUGUUCUUCCGACUCCUGCUAACACACAUGCAACAAAAAAGGGAAGGGAGUGCUUAUUUCCCUUUGUGUAAGGACUAAGAAAUCAUGAUGUCAAAUAAACGUGGUGAAACAUUAGAUCUCUUCUUCAUUUAAUAACCCUCCCCCCUUUUUUUCCUUGAAGAAAUGCCUCCAUUCCUUUCCUUGUGAAAUAUUAUCAGUUUCUACCAUUGCUUCUCAUGCUUGACUUUGUUUUACUUUUUGGCUUGGUAUACUAAGGAGCAAAGGAUUUCAUCUAAAUGGAAUUGAAUGGCAGUCCUAGUUUGUUACUUAUGGUGAUGAGAUUUUCAGAUUUGAGCUAAUCUAUUUGACGUGAUGUAGAAAGAAUGUAAGUAUUCACACAUCUCCAAACAUUUGUAUUUGUUACUUCUUUUUGUUGCUAAGCUAGCUCCUGUAGUUAUGCAUUGUUGCAAAAAUUUACAAAUGUUUUAAAAGUGUUAACAUCUGUUUUUUUUUAAACGUUAGCCAAAGAAGAAGUCACCAUUUCCAAGUUAGAAACCACCAGAAAUAAUUGAAAUUUUCGAUAUGUUCUAAUCUUCUUUGUAUUUUUGAGAUCUGUAUGAGAGCCCACCCCCACUCCAGGAGCAUCUGUACAGCUUCCAUCUGCCAUCGACCAGGUCCUCUCAUCAAAUUAAAUGGAACAGAAAAUGCUCUAGUGAAACAAAGGAAAUGUGCAAGCAUUUUUCCUUUUUCUAUUAUUCUAUUUCCCUUUUUCCUUUUUGGCCCCCUUAUAAUCCAAACCCCAGCUGAAAGGCUGCAACAACACCAGGUUGGGGAGCAGGUCACCAGGAUCAUAGUUCAGUCAAAAUGACAUCACUCCCUGGAACUAGAUUUCAACUCACUAGUCCCCUGGCCUCAUAACAGGAACUUAUGCAGGUGAGACACAAGAAUGACUUCCUGUGUAGGACUGGUAGGAAGUCUGCAAGUACUUAGAGCUGGCCAUUACAGAACUUCCUUCCAGAAGUGCCCUGUGACAUGAAAGUAAGACUUCACAACUAAGGUAAAGAUCCCUGCCCUACCACAUGAUCUGAGUCUCUUGGAUUCGAAGGACAUUAAUGUCAACAGAUGGUUGCCAUGUCAAUCUGUUGACACAAUUCCAUUGCUUCAGUUUCUCCCCUUUUCUCUCUAUAUGUUUGGUUGGAGCUUGUGCCUAAUAUAAAUACAUCAUUCAUAAUUAGAAUGGACAUUAAUUAUUUUAGUAAUAAACACAGGAUAAAUGGCUUUGGGGUGAUAAACCAGAGUCUGUUUUUAUUUUAUGAUGUGUACAUAUUUUAAGCUGUACUUCUGUGAAUGGUACUGAUUUUUGUGGUUGUUUUUUUUUUUUAUAUUUUGUUUAAGCAGAAGAGUGGAAUAUGGGGUCAAAAUCAUAAAAGAAGUUGCCAUG